rnacentral:sRNA from 1 species
AGGCGACAUCGCCUGCAUUAAUGCCAACUUUUAGCGCACGGCUCUCAACGAGCCAUUUCCCUGGACCGAAUACAGGAAUCGUGUUCGGUCUUUUUUU